GGCGGCGUGCCUAUACAUGCAAGUCGAACGCUUCUUUUCCCACCGGAGCUUGCUCCACCGGGAAAAGAGGAGUGGCGAACGGGUGAGUAACACGUGGGUAACCUGCCCAUCAGAAGGGGAUAACACUUGGAAACAGGUGCUAAUACCGUAUAACAAUCGAAACCGCAUGGUUUCGUUUUGAAAGGCGCUUUACGGUGCCGCUGAUGGAUGGACCCGCGGUGCAUUAGCUAGUUGGUGAGGUAACGGCUCACCAAGGCCACGAUGCAUAGCCGACCUGAGAGGGUGAUCGGCCACAUUGGGACUGAGACACGGCCCAAACUCCUACGGGAGGCAGCAGUAGGGAAUCUUCGGCAAUGGACGAAAGUUUGACCGUGCAACUCCGCGAGAGUGAAGAAGGUUUACGUAUCGUAAAACUCUGUUGUUAGAGAAAAUCAAAGGUGAGGGUAGGUAUAUUUCCCUUGACGGUAUCUUAGAUCUUAGCUACAGCUAUCUACUCGUGAGGGACCGCGUGAUCACUUUUGUGUUUUGGGUCUACCCCAAUCGGGGGACCACUCC
rnacentral:rRNA from 1 species